UACGAAGGGGGCUAGCGUUGUUCGGAAUCACUGGGCGUAAAGCGCACGUAGGCGGAUCGUUAAGUCAGGGGUGAAAUCCCGAGGCUCAACCUCGGAACUGCCUUUGAUACUGGGGAUCUCGAGUCCGGGAGAGGUGAGUGGAACUGCGAGUGUAGAGGUGAAAUUCGUAGAUAUUCGCAAGAACACCAGUGGCGAAGGCGGCGCACUGGUCCGGUUCUGACGCUGAGGCGCGAAAGCGUGGGGAGCAAACAGG
rnacentral:rRNA from 1 species